AGGGGAUCUUCGGACCUUUCGCUAUGAGAUGAGCCUGCGUUAGAUUAGCUAGUUGGUAGGGUAAAGGCCUACCAAGGCGACGAUCUAUAGCUGGUCUGAGAGGACGAUCAGCCACACUGGGACUGAGACACGGCCCAGACUCCUACGGGAGGCAGCAGUGGGGAAUAUUGGACAAUGGGCGGAAGCCUGAUCCAGCAAUACCGCGUGUGUGAAGAAGGCCUUAGGGUUGUAAAGCACUUUCAAUUGGGAGGAAAACCUGCCGGCCAAUACCCGGUAGCUUGACAUUACCUUUAGAAGAAGCACCGGCUAACUCCGUGCCAGCAGCCGCGGUAAUACGGAGGGUGCGAGCGUUAAUCGGAAUUACUGGGCGUAAAGCGUGCGUAGGCGGUUCGUUAAGUCAGAUGUGAAAGCCCUGGGCUCAACCUGGGAACUGCAUUUGAAACUGGCGGACUAGAGUUUAGUAGAGGGGAGUGGAAUUUCAGGUGUAGCGGUGAAAUGCGUAGAUAUCUGAAGGAACACCAGUGGCGAAGGCGACUCCCUGGACUAGAACUGACGCUGAGGUACGAAAGCGUGGGUAGCAAACAGGAUUAAAUACCCUGGUAGUCCACGCCGUAAACGAUGUCGACUAGC
rnacentral:rRNA from 1 species